ACCUUAGAGACCAACUAAGUUUGUUAUUGGUAUGAGCUUUCGUGUGCAUGCACACUUCUUCAGAUACAUCGUGCAUGCACAAUUCAUGCAAGUACACAAAAGCUCAUACCAAUAACAAACUUAGUUGGUCUCUAAGGU